rnacentral:rRNA from 1 species
GACGAACGCUGGCGGCGUGCUUAACACAUGCAAGUCGAACGGAAAGGCCCUGCUUUUGUGGGGUGCUCGAGUGGCGAACGGGUGAGUAACACGUGAUUAACCUGCCCUUGACUUUGGGAUAACUUCAGGAAACUGGGGCUAAUACCGGAUAGGAGCUCCUGCUGCAUGGUGGGGGUUGGAAAGUUUCGGCGGUUGGGGAUGGACUCGCGGCUUAUCAGCUUGUUGGUGGGGUAGUGGCUUACCAAGGCUUUGACGGGUAGCCGGCCUGAGAGGGUGACCGGCCACAUUGGGACUGAGAUACGGCCCAGACUCCUACGGGAGGCAGCAGUGGGGAAUAUUGCACAAUGGGCGGAAGCCUGAUGCAGCAACGCCGCGUGCGGGAUGACGGCCUUCGGGUUGUAAACCGCUUUCGCCUGUGACGAAGCGUGAGUGACGGUAAUGGGUAAAGAAGCACCGGCUAACUACGUG